GAUUAAGUUAUUAAGGGCGCACGGUGGAUGCCUUGGCACUAGAAGCCGAUGAAGGACGUUACUAACGACGAUAUGCUUUGGGUAGCUGUAAGUAAGCUUUGAUCCGGAGAUU
rnacentral:ncRNA from 1 species